rnacentral:tRNA from 1 species
CCCUCGAUAGCUCAGUUGGCAGAGCGAAGGACUGUAGAUGUUACAACGGUGAUCCUUAGGUCGCUGGUUCAAAUCCGGCUCGAGGGA